UCGACGACAACUCAACGACUUGGGUAAAAGAGACAUAGGUCCGCUCCCUCUUGUCACUUCCGUUUUAAGUCAUAGUCAUUACCAGACUAGUUAGUUCUCCGUCCUCCACCACACCUCUACCGCCUUAAUCAGCACCGACGGUUGGACCGACCGUCACACCGGUCGUCCUUACGGGGAUUCGAGACCCUAAUGAACCAUGUUUUAGCGUUCGACGCCCGUCUCGACUUCGUACUGUAGUCAAUGUAGUCUUCGCUCAGGAACUACUAAAGACGACGGUAAGUUGUUCUACCACUAGCAGGUGGCACCUCGUCGUUGGGGCACGUAUUCCAGACCUAGUGAUACCACGCACUGAACCGCAUACUAUAGCUUCUGACGUAGCUGGCGAAGUGCGUGGCGCACUGUGAGUUCGGACUACACAGUACCUAGCAAUUCUUUAAAGUGGCCUACUUCUGCUCCUCACGGGCAUUGUUCAAACGACGUCGUUAGGCAGCAGAGUCCUUCUUUAGGCUCCUGCGUAGGUUCGACUCUUGUUCGAUGUCGUGGUCACUCAUACCGCCGCCUAGGUCGUGGGACCUCAGUCUCUGUGGUAGACUACUGUGCCUGUGGAGCCACCGGCGGCACCCAUACCUACACGGGGUGCUGCUCGAGUACCUCGACUAUUCCCUUUGCGGCGUUCCGGUUGUUGGGUACCUCGAGUUCCACUAGAGGGAACAACCCAAGCCACCGUAUCCCUUCUGAGAGGAGUGGUUCGUACACAUGUUGUGUUGACUCUCGCUUAUGUUUCGUGCCCGAACCCAAACACGACGUCUCUUUCCGAGUUCUCUACAAGAGUUCCUCUAUGAGACCGUUGAACCUUACGUAAGGUGGUAAUCAUCAUCAUCACCUUCACGUCCGUUGGGGACGGCAGAGUCGUUAUUGUACGAGACACGUUCGGAUUCUCUCACGGAACCCUGGUUCUCCAAAAAUUAACAUUAACUACUGUACGCCUCUCUGAAAACCCAACUAUAUUUUCUACGAAAGGGACACCAAGGGCCCCAGUUGUCAUCUCAAUAACAGUGUUGUCGGUGAGUCUGGUAUCGUUAGUUUUCGUCGACAGCACUACCAGUACACAUGUAUUACUCUUGAGAACGACUCGUUGUGAGCUUUGUUAACAAGAAACUCUUUCGAAGGAACCACAUAGGUGGUUGUCAGGCACUAUGCCUCGAUUCAAGUCUUCAUUAUUCCUUUACACUACCAGACGGGGAACGAGAAUAAUGGUGUCGUGCCAACAACGUGCCACUAGUGUCUGCCGCUGUUACCCGUCUAGACCCUUUAUUGGAACCGUCGGUAGACCUCUGUGUAGUAUACAAUCGUUUAUACUUCGCACACGAGCAGGCAUCGAUGUGGUUGGAUUCGUUCGUUCUAUAGUUCUAGACGAACGAAAUAGAACCAUAAAUGGGUUCACCAGCGGGUUAGUCCUCUCCUUCGGACUAUUCCGCUACCAGUCGGCUUCCAAAGUAGUGUCGUCUCGGAUUUGCGUCACGGGAACUCCAACGACAACGGUCAAAGUUACUCGACCAGCUGUUCUCGUAGUAGGUCGGAUAACUACGGUCGCCGUUGCCGUCACGUCUCCACUUCUGUACGUUUGGAGUGUCAUAUUACGAACUCAAGUAAGACGUGUCUAGGUACAGGCUCUUGAAACAAUGGAACAAUAUACUAUUCCUAGGGGGUGGACCCUCAUUUUAAGCAACCUAAAGAGACGUCGUAUUUUGACUACGUUCUAGGUUUUACCUAGGUUUCCUAGAUUCAGAACAGGCAAGAGACUGUUAGAAACCACUUCGCGUGUUAAGUUACAACCUGAAAAGGUUCAUGUUUGACUAAUCUCAAAACCUAAAUCUUCUCACGCUACUUGUGAACCCUCUGUUCGUAGAGUUCCUCUAUACGUCGUUGUACAGCGACGAGUCCAUGGAUUCGGAGUCUCCACGAUGAUCUCAAUGUCAAUAAGGUUUUGUCUAGUUCUUCGAAGUUGAAAACCUUUGUGACCUAAAUUCUCCUUGGUCAUAUCUCUAAGACUGGUAUCUUCAGUACCUUAACGGUAUAAAUUAAGUAGACAAACCUUUCAAGUUCGAGGUUGUUCUACAUCCUUCGGCCUCUUACUCAUUCGAUGUCUGAACCGACAGUCUCUCUUCAUUUAACCUUUGAAAUCGGCCUAAACAACACCUGUUGUUAUCGGUUCCUAAGUGUGUCUAGUACCUCGUAUACUUCGUGAACUGGUUCCACUUUUAUACCACGCUCAAGUGGCGUGUACUGUCGUCGUUGAGUUCUGUGGAGAGUUUCAGUUAGUUCCCCAAGUAGGUCUCGCCGUGGCUAGACUUGUUUCGAGUAAGUGAGAGUGACUUGUGGUUACUACUUACCACAGGUCUGAACAACCUAAAGAGGAACCUCUUCCUAAUGAGGAUGAUGGAAUCGAGUGAGUUCGAUGUUCCCUUGUGGUAUACAUCAGUCGACGGAGACAAACAAUGGUACGACCCACCAGAGUGAUUCGACACGGACAGUAAGGAACCACUAGUAUUCGACUCACCAUUGUAAGAACUACGGGACUCGUCUCACGCGCCGGACCUCAUGGACUUCGACUAACGUUGAGUUGACCUGUUCGAGCCGUAGUCCGUUCCGGUACGUGAGUCUUCGGACGCUGUGGAUACACAGCACCGUCUUCAGCGUUGGCUCGACCUUUAUGUUCUCCCUCGAGACGGAGCGGAGCUCAAGGAGGCCGACGAUACAUUCCUAUAUUUACCGAAAUCGGCGUGUUAGGUCAGGGACGGUGCAGAAUUUCUCCAGCGGGAUGGACUACGUCACUCACUACUUUGUUUUGUCCUCACCUUUCCUCGUUUUUUCUUGGUGGGGUCUGCAGGGUUCGAGAACAAACAACUCUGAUUCGGCUACCCUUCACUCAGACGACGCCUUUAAUAGGGACGUCUUUGUUGAUGACUAUGUUGUCAGCUUCUCCAACUACACCUCUCCCUUGGACGUCGUCGUCGAUGACUAUGCUGCAAUAGUCACUGUUGCGACGGGUUACACUGGUGAUUUCUCUGACCACAAUGAAGACCCUACCAACUACUAGUCCUUGAUUACUUUUCGCUCGGACGACGUCUUCGAUCGGGACGUCGUUAUCGAUGACUAUGCUGCCGGCUGCUCCAACUACAGUUUUCACGUGGACGCCUCUUAAAACUCUCGGGACACGGUAGUGGAUGACUACGGUAAAGAUGACAUGUUCAACUACCACCAGUUGUACUACUACUUGUUCCUUUUAUAAAACGAUUGUGGUUCCUACAUUUUAUAAAACGAUUCUUUGUACCAGACUCGCAAGUCCACUGUCUAGCCUACUUGUUCCCUUCAAGAUUUCUCCUCUACCUUCCUUACCGCCCAAAUCUCCCAGUCGUCUACCUUCUGCGGUGGUUCUUGGUUCCGGAUGCUUUGUUUGUCGCAGACGCCUGCUCCAACAGUAGCGACCACCGUUAACCACAGAAAGCGGUUUCUUCAGCUGUCCCCUACAACCACGGAACUGAUCCAAUUAGAACGAGUCCUGUCCCGACCUCAUACGAAACUCAUAGUCCACGACCCACACGGUCUGUUCAUGCCUAUACUCCUCAGCAGAGGACUUCAACUACUUCACCAAGAGUAUUCAAACAGGACUUACGUGUACUUAAGGAUAAACCACCUAAAGACGACAGGACACUGUCUCAGGUGGUACAUACAAUAGCCUGUAUAUAGAGCAGGUUUACGUAUUUAUCUUUCGGGUAUUCCUUGUUUUCUUGGACUUGGAUUCAAGUAAAGCCUGGACUUGGACUUGGAUCCAAGUAAACCACCGAAAGACUAUUCAAGUAAACCUUGCUCAUUGAUGGUGUCUAGUGUACAUACAGGGCAAACUAACAUGUACUUUUGACAGUAUUCAAUGUACGAAUAGUAGGAAUAAAAACAACACGA
rnacentral:rRNA from 1 species